rnacentral:rRNA from 1 species
UACAGAGGUCCCAAGCGUUGUUCGGAUUUACUGGGCGUAAAGGGUGCGUAGGUGGCGAGGUAAGUUUGAUGUGAAAUCUCCGAGCUCAACUCGGAAAUGGCAUUGAAUACUAUCCCGCUAGAGGGUCGGAGGGGAGACUGGAAUUCUCGGUGUAGCAGUGAAAUGCGUAGAUAUCGAGAGGAACACCAGUGGCGAAGGCGAGUCUCUGGACGAUACCUGACACUGAGGCACGAAAGCUAGGGGAGCAAACAGG